rnacentral:rRNA from 1 species
UACGUAGGGUGCGAGCGUUAAUCGGAAUUACUGGGCGUAAAGAGUGCGUAGGCGGUUCUUUGUGUCCGCUGUGAAAGCCCCGGGCUUAACCUGGGAAUGGCAGUGGAUACUGGACAGCUAGAGUGCGGUAGAGGGUAGUGGAAUUCCCGGUGUAGCAGUGAAAUGCGUAGAGAUCGGGAGGAACACCGGUGGCGAAGGCGGUUCUCUGGGCCUGACCUGACGCUGAGGAGCGAAAGCGUGGGGAGCAAACAGG